AGCGAACGCUGGCGGCGUGCCUAACACAUGCAAGUCGAACGCGAAAGGGGGGGCAACUCCCCGAGUAGAGUGGCGCACGGGUGAGUAACGCGUGGGUAAUCUGCCCUUGAGUGGGGGAUAACCUUCCGAAAGGAGGGCUAAUACCGCAUAACACCCCGUUCUCUUCGGAGGAUGGGUUCAAAGGUGACCGCUGCAUGCAAGUUGCCGCUUAAGGAGGAGCCCGCGUCCCAUUAGCUAGUUGGUAGGGUAACGGCCUACCAAGGCGACGAUGGGUAGCCGGCCUGAGAGGGUGAUCGGCCACACUGGAACUGAGACACGGUCCAGACUCCUACGGGAGGCAGCAGUGAGGAAUAUUGCGCAAUGGGCGAAAGCCUGACGCAGCGACGCCGCGUGGAGGAUGAAGGCCUUCGGGUCGUAAACUCCUGUCGAGGGGGACGAAAUGGUGCUCCGUUAAUACCGGAGUGCCUUGACGGUACCCCUGGAGGAAGCCCCGGCUAACUCCGUGC
rnacentral:rRNA from 1 species